CAAAGAGUGUGGAUUUCACUCUGGAAGUCUUUCUGUUGUGAUUAUACAAAAUUAACUCGAGCCCCCCUCCCCCACCUCCCUUUUAAAGCUUAUCUUCUUUUUUGAUCUGAGAAUUCCAAGUAGUGAAUGAAGCCAGAGAAUCCUUAUUUGCUGUGAACCAAGUGAGAAAAUAGGCCCACAGAGCAGACGCUCAAGAGAUCAGUGUGAAUUUUGCUCCAGUAUGGCAGCUCUGGAGGAUGGUG
rnacentral:lncRNA from 1 species